rnacentral:rRNA from 1 species
UACGUAGGGGGCAAGCGUUGUCCGGAUUUAUUGGGCGUAAAGAGCGUGUAGGCGGCCACACAGGUCAGCUGUGAAAACUCGAGGCUCAACCUCGAGACGUCGGUUGAAACCGUAUGGCUAGAGUCCGGAAGAGGAGAGUGGAAUUCCCGGUGUAGCGGUGAAAUGCGCAGAUAUCGGGAAGAACACCCGUAGCGAAGGCGGCACUCUGGGCCGAUACUGACACUGAGGAGCGAAAGCGUGGGGAGCGAACAGG